rnacentral:rRNA from 1 species
UACGAAGGGGGCUAGCGUUGCUCGGAAUCACUGGGCGUAAAGCGCACGUAGGCGGCUCUUUAAGUCAGGGGUGAAAUCCUGGAGCUCAACUCCAGAACUGCCUUUGAUACUGAGGGGCUUGAGUCCGGGAGAGGUGAGUGGAACUGCGAGUGUAGAGGUGAAAUUCGUAGAUAUUCGCAAGAACACCAGUGGCGAAGGCGGCUCACCGGCCCGGUACUGACGCUGAGGUGCGAAAGCGUGGGGAGCAAACAGGG